AUCAGAGUAGAGAAUAAAGCGUUAAGUGCCGGGAGGAUGGGAUGUUGCCUGCUGGACGAAAGACUUCGGUCUGCGGUUUUAUUUUCGCAUUCGCUGCA
rnacentral:ncRNA from 2 species